GUUUGGGUUUGGUCAAUCAACUGGCAUUUAACGCGAUAAAUAAAUAUUAAGAUGAUGAAUAAAUCUUAUUGCAUAUUGGCUUUUGUUGCAUCCUUUGCGAUGAUUGGAUGUACAGUUUUACACAAUGUCACCAAAGUGUCUGAUAUUACGUUGGAAAUAGCGUGUUCAUUCACGGAGACAUCCUAUGGAGUGUUUACUCGAAAACAAGUGGGUAGUAAUAGAUCUGUGGAUGUCAUAAGUGUGAAUGUAUCUGCGUGUUUUACUCCCGACACAUCUCCGGGUGUAACUGCAAAAUGUAUUUGCAAACAUAAUGUUGUGUGCAAUAUUACCGGAACUUUCGAAGUUGACCUUGAGGACCAAUUGCAGUGUCGAACCUAUAUGCACGGCCAUCUAACUUUAUACAAUGGAAAAGUCAUUCAAUUACACAAAGUAAGGCCGUCUACUUUAUCCCCGACUCAUACAACUGACAACCAUACAUUACCGUAUGUGGAAAGCAAAUCUGAACAAAUAACAGAAGUCUCGUUUACUGCAAAUG